AGGAAGGUGGGGAUGACGUCAAGUCCUCAUGGCCUUUAUGCCCAGGGCUACACACGUGCUACAAUGGCCGGUACCAAAGGGCUGCAAAACCGCGAGGUAGAGCUAAUCCCAAAAAGCCGGUCUCAGUUCGGAUCGGAGUCUGCAACUCGACUCCGUGAAGGUGGAAUCGCUAGUAAUCCCGGAUCAGCAUGCCGGGGUGAAUACGUUCCCGGGUCUU
rnacentral:rRNA from 1 species